UCGGCGACGGUCUUUCCACGGUCAAAGUCAAAACGGUCUUCAGAGCCGUUACCACUCGGACGCUCGCGGCUUGCAUAUAGAUAUAUAUAUUUCUCCCCCACUGUCACUCUCUUAUUCCGCACAUUCUCCCAGAGUUCUCCAUCAACGGCCUCUUACCUCUUGAGUGUUCGUUUGAUCAUUACCAGGCAAUCGGAGGAAGAGAGAGCAGAAUCGAAAGAAGUAUCUGGCCGCAUCUCGGUGAUGAAAAACAGAGAAGAAGAGGACGGCGAACUCUGUACGUCAUUGAGAUUGGCUAUAUGACAACAGAGAGGGGAAGAACGCAGCAGUUGCUCUUGAUGAAGUGAUUGCUUGGGCAAAAUUAAAGCAAUUGGUCCUGUCAUUGUGGCCGGUGGGAUUUUCGCAUCUGCUAGGAUGACUGGUCAUAAUCACGUACGAUAUGAGAGACUGAUUUGUGCCCAAUGCAGAAUGAUAGCAAUCAAUUUGUUGAUAUCGAAGGACGAUCCGGUUCAUGUAAAGUUUGUAGAAAACAGUUAGGGGUGCAUAAAAUAUAACCACACAAUCCACAGAGAUGGAAAUGGAGGACGUAGACGAAGACAAUAAAGUUGAGGUCAUUCUACAAGGAAUCCAACUCUGGUUGCUACUUUCAAUGCCUCCAUCAUGUAAGUAAUUUUCUACUUGACAUCAUGAACUACCAUACGUGUGACUGCAAUGUUAUGGUCCUAAUAAGGUUAGAUUACUACGUUUAAUCUU